GAAUAAAGUCUCCAUGAACAUCUUUUCAAGAUGCUGACUUCAUUUUCUUCGGAUAAAUACCCAGAAGGGGCUCAGCGUCAGAGAGCUGAAACACAACAUUGUACAAAGGAGCAGAGGCAAUGCUGGGAUUCAAAGUUAGAUCUCCCGUGACUUCAAUUUACAGAUGGAAAGAUCAUCAAAGAUGGUUUCUUCAAACACCACAAUGACAGGAACCAAGAGCCUUGGAAUCCAUGUGAGCUUUAUCAAGGCAUGUGCAAAAAC